UUUGCAGCCUCAGCUUAAAGGACCCCCACUACUUUAAUGUGGAAGUACUUGCUUUGCUCCUGAUAAAGUAAGUGCUUCCAUGUUUUAGUGAUGGUGAAACCUGAUUUUCAACUGCAGAACA
rnacentral:precursor_RNA from 15 species